CUCUCAUUGAUGGGAAAAGUAGAAUUCUCUUUUCUGGGGGACCUUUUAUUACUACCAGCUAUGACUAUGAUGCUCCGAUUGAUGAAUACGGCUUGAUUAGGCAACCGAAGUAUGAUCAUCUGAAGGAACUUCAUAAGGUGAUAAAGUUGUGCGAAAAAGCUCUGCUUACUUCCGAUCCGAAUGUCGUCACUUUAUGAAGCUACGAACAGGCACAUAUUUUCUCGUCCAAGUCUGGCGGCUGUGCUGCAUUUCUCUCCAACUACAAUUUGAAGUCGAAUGCAAGGGUGACUUUCAAUAAUAUGCACUAUGACCUUCCCCGUUGGUCCAUUAGCAUCCCCCUGGAUUGCCA